UUUGUUCUUGAACUUACUCUUUAUAGUUCCUUGGUUUUUUAACAGAAUACUUUUGUAUAGCAUUUGUUAGCUGAACAGCUAAAAUUCUGCUCAGACAGUUUGUCUACUCUGUUUUAAAGGAAAGCCCAUAUGAACUCACUAGUCUGUUCAAAUAAGCUAAUUCAGAGAAGUACAAUCUGUACAUUAGAAUUACAUAAUGUAUAUUUUUGUUGUAUACUUGGCUCUAAGAGACGGUUCGGAUUUUCCCUCAAUGUCUGUCAUAUUAACAGUAUCAAAGCUUUACUUUUCUGAGGCCUAAAGUGUAGUCAUUAAAGCAAAGGGAAGACAUGAUAUUUAAAAAGAGUAUUUUGAAAGUAACAAUUAUAUAUUUCUUUGAUAAUUAAGGUUUGCAAACCUCUAAGUUUACUGAGACACUAGUAAUCUACUGGAAAUGACAUACAUGGAUACAUUUUGCCUUCCUCUUAUAUCUGAGUAGUUUCUUCUGACUGCAUCCAUUCUUGCUCCAGGGCUAAGAAUUUGAGAUAGGAAGUUAAAGAAGCUCCAGUAGUGUUAACUUAAUGUGGUACUCAAAAGUAUAUAGCAGUUUCUAAAAAAAUGAACAAACAUUUCACAGUUAAUUUAUCAUAUUGAUCAACCUAUGUAAACAUUACCUUUCUUGUGUGUCUUCAAGGCUAGGCUGAAGAUUUUUGAAUGAAGACAAACAAAAAAAUAGUGCAUGAUCCAAAAGAUGCAAGUUGAAAAAAAAUAAAAAAGGAAGAAAAGCUGCAGUUGACACAAGAAGGUGGUUAGCGUUAACAUAUAGUGUGAUGAUGGAUGUCAGGGGCAGAGGAGGGUGUUAAGUCAUUGUUUUAGACUUGUGAGGUGGAUUUACUAGAGUUUGUGUCUUUCUGAGCAGAGAAUAUUGUGUUGAUCCAGUAAUUUGGGGAUAUUUUUAUUGCUCCAGGGAAUGCUGUAUUAAAAGUAGAAGCAGCUUUAAAUAUUCUUUAAAAUGGAAUGCAUUGCCUUUAGUCUCUCUGUGGAGCAUGCUAUUAGGAGCUAUAUCCCUAGCUACACUUGUGAAAUUAAAAAAGCUUCAUGGCUGGAAAGGUGCCCAAAUUCUGAGAAAUCCUGUCUUUCUGAAGAGAGAAAUAAAUAGUCAAUCAAAAAUAGGUAUCUGUAACGCUUUGUAGGCUAGAUCCAAAGAGAGCCAUAGAUGUGGUGAUGCUCCAGUAUCUUAAACUUCAGUAGUUUGGACCAUGCAAUGGAAGGGAAGAGAACAGGGUUCAGUAUUUGCAUUUUGAACUAUUGUUGAAUUUUCUUGUCCUGUUAAAGGGCAAGUAACAAAACAGAAAUAGUCCCUGGAGCAGGGACUAGAAUCUAGGUCUUCUCUCCCAGCUGAGCACCCUGGUUAUUACCAGGCUACAGUGUGAUCCUUGUUAAUUGUCCAGAUGCCAUAGCAUUUUAAUUUUUAGCUGGGUAGUUACCUAGCUUUAUCAGACUAGAAGCUUGUUACUAUCCAGCCUUUUAGAUUCCUAAUUAAAGUGCUCUUCUGGGAAAUAAAUGCAUGGUUUUAAAUCCCCAUAUGCUAACAGGGAAUUAAAGCCAAAUUCCUUGCCUCUGUGGUACUCGCUGUAAUCUGGUAUGUAUCUCCAGGGAAAAUUCUGGAUCAGUAGUCCCAAACCAUUUGUGUACCUUGUGUACCUUGCACUGCUGUUACACAGCCCCACCACUGUCCUUUCACUGGGGGGUGUUUGCUGCUUCGGGUGUAAUCUCUGUGUUACCUUGCACAUGAGCCUCCUAGUGUGUCUUGGUGGAGCUUCAGCCUUCUAUAAAGUUGCCACCAGAAAAAUUAAGUGUAUUUAUCAUCUCUUUUUCUAGGGAAAUCCUGUGGUGUUUAUUGGAUGACUUUGUAUAGGACUUGAGGGCCUGAAUUUUGCUUAUAUGCAAAAAUACUUCUAUUACAUGCUGCCAAGAAUUCAGAAGCCAUGCAGAUGAUGAGAAAACAUGAUGCUUAUGAAGUAUUUGAAUAUGGUGCAAUGUACACAGAAUAUUCACUUCAUAGCUUCAGAGGGAAAAAACAAACAAAGCCCCAACACUACACCAAAAACAUGAAGAGGAACAUUUCCUUCAUGACUGACAGAGCAUUCAUGUGAGCAGAACACAAAUGAAAGCAUAUUGGAGAUAGCAUUUUUGAGACACUGUAACACCCUUGUGUUUCCUAUGGAAGAGGCUUUUGCAAAUGGGAACUGUUACCUUAUUUUUGAGCACUUUAAUUAUUUUCAAUCAAAUUUGAUAGAGGAAUAGCAAUAUCAAAAAUUUUAGGCAUCUAUAGGUGCCUAGAAUAUCCAGCAAGGAAGGGUAGAAGGACCAUCCAGCAAGGAAAAGACUUCUGUGUGAGUUCAUCGCUUCUCAGACAAAUGGCACUUCAUUUAUUCCAUCACCUAUGGAAAUUUGGUUUACUGAAUGAACUGAACUGAAUGUAGAAACACAGAGGAUUCAAAUAUGUAUUUGCUUUCUUUAUGUUGGGACAUCAUUUAAGCCAUAUAAAUAAUUUUUUAUAAUUUACUAGUGAACAGUGACCAGUACAAAAUGUUUCAAACUUAUUUUCAGUUCACAUCCAGAAAAAAGGAUUUUUCUGAAGUACAAUAAAUUGGUGGAGGAUGUGUGUGCAUUCAAUAU